rnacentral:rRNA from 1 species
GACGAACGCUGGCGGCGUGCUUAACACAUGCAAGUCGAACGGAAAGGCCCUGCUUUUGUGGGGUGCUCGAGUGGCGAACGGGUGAGUAACACGUGAGUAACCUGCCCUUGACUUUGGGAUAACUUCAGGAAACUGGGGCUAAUACCGGAUAGGAGCUCCUGCUGCAUGGUGGGGGUUGGAAAGUUUCGGCGGUUGGGGGUGGACUCGCGGCUUAUCAGCUUGUUGGUGGGGUAGUGGCUUACCAAGGCUUUGACGGGUAGCCGGCCUGAGCGGGUGACCGGCCACAUUGGGACUGGGAUACGGCCCAGCCUCCUACGGUAGGCAGCGGUGGGGAAUAUUGCACUAUGGGCGGAAGCCUGAUGCAGCAACGCCGCGUGCGGGAUGACGGCCUUCGGGUUGUAAACCGCUUUCGCCUGUGACGAAGCGUUAGUGACGGUAAUGGGUAAAGAAGCACCGGCUAACUACGUG